rnacentral:rRNA from 1 species
AACGAACGCUGGCGGCAUGCCUAACACAUGCAAGUCGAACGAGCCCUUCGGGUCUAUUGGCGCACGGGUGCGUAACGCGUGGGAACCUGCCCUUAGGUUCGACAUAACUCCCCGAAUGGGGUGCUAAUACCGGAUAAUGUCUUCGGACCAAAGAUUUAUCGCCUUUGGUGGGUCCCUCGUUGGAUUAGCUAGUUGGUAGGGUAAAAGCCUACCAAGGCGACCAUCCAUAACUGGUUUGAGAGGAUGAUCAGCCACACUGGGACUGAGACACGGCCCAGACUCCUACGGGAGGCAGCAGUGGGGAAUAUUGGACAAUGGGCGAAAGCCUGAUCCAGUAAGGCCGCGUGAGUGAUGAAGGCCUUAGGGUUGUAAAGCUCUUUUACCCGGGAUGAUAAUGACAGUACCGGGAGAAUAAGCCCCGGCUAACUCCGUG